UUAAGUUUUUAGGGGCGUACAGUGAAUGCCUUGGCACUAGAAGACUACGAAAGACGUGACUACCUGCGAUAAGCUACGGGGAGCUGGAUGUGAGCUUUGAUCCGUAGAUCUCUGAAUGGGGAAACCCAAUGCAAGUAAUUUUGCAUUAUCGAGCGAUUUCGUCGUUCGAAGACACACCUGGGGAAUUGAAACAUCUUAGUACCCAGAGGAAAAGAAAGAUAAUUAUCGAUUCCGUCAGUAGCGGCGAGCGAAAGCGGAACAGCCCAAACCACCUUGAGUGGUGUUCGGACCGCAACGUGGAAUUGUCAGAUCCAUCUGAAUGGCCUGGGAAGGCCAGCCAUAGAAGGUGAUAGCCCUGUAAGGAUAAGACGAGACAUCCUAGCGGUAUCCAGAGUACGUCGGGUCAAAUAUCUUGACGGAAAAUGUGCGGACCAUCGCAUAAGGCUAAAUACUCUCUAGUGACCGAUAGUGAACCAGUACCGUGAGGGAAAGGUGAAAAGAACCCCGGGAGGGGAGUGAAAAGACUCUGAAACUGUAUGCCUACAAUAAGUCAAAGGGCAUUAAGCCUGAUGACGUGCCUAUUGAAGAAUGAGCCGGCGAGUCACGUUUACAUGCAAGGUUAAGCUGAAGAAGCGGAGCCGUAGCGAAAGCGAGUCUGAAUAGGGCGCUUUAGUAUGUGAACGUGGACCCGAAGCCCGACGAUCUACCCAUGAGCAGGUUGAAAGAAGGGUAACACCUUCCGGAGGACCGAACCGACGUUCGUUGAAAUGACCGCGGAUGACUUGUGGGUAGUGGAGAAAUUCCAAUCGAGUUGGGGGAUAGCUGGUUCUCCCCGAAAUAACUUUACGGCUAGCCUUUGUAAACUACAUCUUGAGGGUAAAGCACUGAAUGACUGAUGGGUAAUUUUAUUGCUACUGAAUUCAAUCAAACUCUGAAUCUCAAGAUGACUAUACAGGGAGUCAGACUGUGGGCGAUAAGGUCCAUGGUCAAAAGGGAAACAGCCCAGACCGCCAAAUAAGGUCCCAAAAUCUACGCUAAGUGUUAAAGGAAGUGGAGAUACUUAAACAACUAGGAUGUUGACUCAGAAGCAGCCAUCAUUUAAAGAGUGCGUAACAGCUCACUAGUCGAGUGCCUCUGCACCGAGGAUUUAUCGGGGCUAAGCGUAGUACCGAAUUUGCGGAUUUGCAGCAAUGCAAGUGGUAGGGGAGCGUUCUAUCAGCGGUGAAGUCGUCCUGUAAGGGGCGGUGGAGCGGAUAGAAGUGAGUAUGCCGGCGUUAGUAACGAUAUGGGGUGAGAAUCCCCAUCACCAUUAGACUAAGGUUUCCUGGGGAAGGGUCGUCCUCCCAGGGUUAGGCGGGUCCUAAGUUCAGGCCGAACGGCGUAGACGAUGGACAGCAGGUUGAUAUUCCUGCCCCCGCAUACAUGCGAUGUAAUGACAGAUUUGGAUAGCGGUACCCCUUAUUGGAUUGGGGGCCAAGCGCCGUGACUGACUGGCAGGCAAAUCCACCAGUUAAAGUGAAAGCGCGAGUGCGAGCGAACGGUUCGCCUAUUAGUGAAGUCCGCAAUUCCAGGUCUCGAGAAAAGUUGCUAGCUUAAGUGUAUGUGGCCCGUACCGAGAACGGACACACGUGGUCAAGGAGAGUAUCCUAAGGUGAGCGAGUGAAUUGUUGUUAAGGAACUCUGCAAAAUUACUUCGUAACUUCGGAAGAAGAAGUACUCCCGCGAGGGAGUCGCAGUGAAGAGGCCCAAGUAACUGUUUAUCAAAAACAUAGCUCUAUGCUAAGCCGUAAGGCGAUGUAUAUGGGGUGAUGCCUGCCCAGUGCUGGAAGGUUAAGAGGGGAUGUCAGGAGCAAUCCGAAGCAUUGAAUCGAAGCCCCAGUGAACGGCGGCCGUAACUAUAACGGUCCUAAGGUAGCGAAAUUCCUUGUCAGGUAAGUUCUGACCCGCAUGAAUGGUAUAAUAAUUUGGGCGCUGUCUCGACAGCAAACUCGGUGAAAUCUUAUUACCUGUGAAGAUGCAGGUUACCCGCGACUAGACGGAAAGACCCCAUGGAGCUUUACUGUAACUUAAUAUUGAGCGUCUGAGUCUCAUUCGUAGGAUAGGUACGAGGCUUUGAAGCGGGUCCUUUGGGAUCCGUGGAGCCACCAGUGAAAUAGUACUAUUGUGGUUUGAACGUUCUAACGUAUGCCCUCACGAGGCAACGGACAGUGUUAGGCGGGCAGUUUGACUGGGGCGGUCGCCUCCCAAAAAGUAACGGAGGCGCUCCAAGGUUCGUUCAGCAUGGUUGGAAAUCAUGCAUCGAGUGCAUUGGCAUAAACGAGCUUGACUGCGAGACUUACAAGUCGAACAGGGACGAAAGUCGGACAAAGUGAUCUUGCGGUCCCGAAUGGAAGGGCCGUAACUUAACGGAUAAAAGCUACCCUGGGGAUAACAGGCUGAUCUACUCCAAGAGUUCACAUCGACGAGUAGGUUUGGCACCUCGAUGUCGGCCCAUCACAUCCUGGAGGGGAAGUACCUUCCAAGGGUUUGGCUGUUCGCCAAUUAAAGUGGUACGCGAGCUGGGUUCGAAGUUUGAAGGGUCUAGUCCCUAGUACGAGAGGACCGGGAUUAACGAGGCACUGGUAUAUCGGUUGUCGCGCCAGCGGCAUGGCCGGGUAGCUACCCUCGGAAGAGAUAAACGCUGAAAGCAUCUAAGCGUGAAGCUCGCCCUAAGAUGAGACUUCCCAUUCGCAAGAAGUAAGUGCCCUCCUAAGCGAGGAGGUUGAUAGGUUAGAUCUGUAAGCGCUGCGAGGCGUUCAGGAGACUAAUACUAAUAGCACGAGGACUUA
rnacentral:rRNA from 1 species